CACGUAGGGUGCGAGCGUUGUCCGGAAUCAUUGGGCGUAAAGAGCUCGUAGGCGGUGUGUCGCGUCGGCCGUGAAAACCUGCAGCUUAACUGUGGGCUUGCGGUCGAUACGGGCAUCACUGGAGUUCGGCAGGGGAGACUGGAAUUCCUGGUGUAGCGGUGAAAUGCGCAGAUAUCAGGAGGAACACCGGUGGCGAAGGCGGGUCUCUGGGCCGAUACUGACGCUGAGGAGCGAAAGCGUGGGGAGCGAACAGG
rnacentral:rRNA from 1 species